rnacentral:rRNA from 1 species
UACGAAGGGGGCUAGCGUUGCUCGGAAUCACUGGGCGUAAAGCGCACGUAGGCGGAUUGUUAAGUCAGGGGUGAAAUCCUGGAGCUCAACUCCAGAACUGCCUUUGAUACUGGGUAUCUCGAGUCCGGAAGAGGUGAGUGGAAUUCCGAGUGUAGAGGUGAAAUUCGUAGAUAUUCGGAGGAACACCAGUGGCGAAGGCGGCUCACUGGUCCGGUACUGACGCUGAGGUGCGAAAGCGUGGGGAGCAAACAGG